GGGCCCGAGUAGACGCAAGGCCUGAAGGAAGGAGGAAUAGAAAGAAGCUCACACCUCUAGAGGUGUGGAGGUUGAGGCUGUUGGAGGUUAAGGAGUGGAGGUUUGGAGGUCAGGGCUGGUCUGGGUUCUGGGUAAUUAGCGCAGGACAAGGGUUGUCGCAGGCCAGUA